rnacentral:ncRNA from 1 species
GAGAGCCGUAUGCAUCGAGAGGUGCACGUACGGUUCGGGGGCGAGCACGCGAAAACCUGCCAUUAACGGUAAGGCGUCGUGUGCUUAGCCUAC